AGAGUUUGAUCCUGGCUCAGGAUGAACGCUGGCGGCGUGCUUAACACAUGCAAGUCGAACGAACCUUCGGGUUAGUGGCGGACGGGUGAGUAACGCGUGGGAAUCUGCCCUCAGGAGGGGGAUAACGGUUGGAAACGACCGCUAAUACCCCAUAUGCCGAGAGGUGAAAUGAAUUUCGCCUGAGGAUGAGCCCGCGUCUGAUUAGCUUGUUGGUGAGGUAAUGGCUCACCAAGGCAUCGAUCAGUAGCUGGUCUGAGAGGAUGAUCAGCCACACUGGGACUGAGACACGGCCCAGACUCCUACGGGAGGCAGCAGUGGGGAAUUUUCCGCAAUGGGCGAAAGCCUGACGGAGCAACGCCGCGUGAGGGACGAAGGCCUCUGGGCUGUAAACCUCUUUUCUCGAGGAAGAAGAUAUGACGGUACUUGAGGAAUAAGCCACGGCUAAUUCCGUGCCAGCAGCCGCGGUAAUACGGGAGUGGCAAGCGUUAUCCGGAAUUAUUGGGCGUAAAGCGUCCGCAGGCGGCCCUUCAAGUCUGCUGUUAAAACGUGGAGCUCAACUCCAUCAUGGCAGUGGAAACUGAUUGGCUUGAGUAUGGUAGGGGCAGAGGGAAUUCCCGGUGUAGCGGUGAAAUGCGUAGAUAUCGGGAAGAACACCAGUGGCGAAGGCGCUCUGCUGGGCCAUUACUGACGCUCAUGGACGAAAGCCAGGGGAGCGAAAGGGAUUAGAUACCCCUGUAGUCCUGGCCGUAAACGAUGAACACUAGGUGUCGGGGGAAUCGACCCCUUCGGUGUCGUAGCUAACGCGUUAAGUGUUCCGCCUGGGGAGUACGCACGCAAGUGUGAAACUCAAAGGAAUUGACGGGGGCCCGCACAAGCGGUGGAGUAUGUGGUUUAAUUCGAUGCAACGCGAAGAACCUUACCAGGGCUUGACAUCCUGCGAACCUUUAAGAAAUUAGAGGGUGCCUUCGGGAACGCAGUGACAGGUGGUGCAUGGCUGUCGUCAGCUCGUGUCGUGAGAUGUUGGGUUAAGUCCCGCAACGAGCGCAACCCACGUUUUUAGUUGCCAGCAUUUAGUUGGGCACUCUAGAAAGACCGCCGGUGAUAAACCGGAGGAAGGUGUGGAUGACGUCAAGUCAUCAUGCCCCUUACGUCCUGGGCUACACACGUACUACAAUGCUACGGACAAAGGGCAGCAAACUCGCGAGAGCUAGCAAAUCCCAUAAACCGUGGCUCAGUUCAGAUCGUAGGCUGCAACUCGCCUACGUGAAGUAGGAAUCGCUAGUAAUCGCAGGUCAGCAUACUGCGGUGAAUACGUUCCCGGGCCUUGUACACACCGCCCGUCACACCAUGGAAGUUGGCCACGCCCGAAGUCGUUACUUUAACCCUUGUGGAGAAGGACGCCGAAGGUGGGGCUGAUGACUGGGGUGAAGUCGUAACAAGGUAGCCGUACCGGAAGGUGCGGCUG
rnacentral:rRNA from 1 species